CUGUGCUAGGCGGGGAGCUAGCGGUGCCCUGUACCCGCAAUCCGCUUCAGCGGGGCUGAAUUCCCUCCCGAGGUCCGUCGUCCCGGCUCCUGUUCGCGCGUCGCGGCGUUGACGAUCGGGUCCUGUGCAGCAGUGGCCCGCGAACCCCGUCAGGUCCGGAAGGAAGCAGCGGUAAGCGGUCGUCGCUGAGUGCCGCAGGCAAGCCUGAUCCGAGCCAAGGCGCGCGGACGUGACCGAGCUGGCGUGAUCGACGGAGGGUGCACGG
rnacentral:SRP_RNA from 1 species